AUUGAACGCUGGCGGCAGGCCUAACACAUGCAAGUCGAGCGGAUGAAGAGAGCUUGCUCUCUGAUUUAGCGGCGGACGGGUGAGUAAUGCCUAGGAAUCUGCCUGGUAGUGGGGGAUAACGCUCCGAAAGGAACGCUAAUACCGCAUACGUCCUACGGGAGAAAGCAGGGGACCUUCGGGCCUUGCGCUAUCAGAUGAGCCUAGGUCGGAUUAGCUAGUUGGUGAGGUAAUGGCUCACCAAGGCUACGAUCCGUAACUGGUCUGAGAGGAUGAUCAGUCACACUGGAACUGAGACACGGUCCAGACUCCUACGGGAGGCAGCAGUGGGGAAUAUUGGACAAUGGGCGAAAGCCUGAUCAGCCAUGCCGCGUGUGUGAAGAAGGUCUUCGGAUUGUAAAGCACUUUAAGUUGGGAGGAAGGGCAGUAAGCUAAUACCUUGCUGUUUUGACGUUACCGACAGAAUAAGCACCGGCUAACUUCGUGCCAGCCGCCGCAGUAACAC
rnacentral:rRNA from 1 species